rnacentral:rRNA from 1 species
AGGGUUUGAUCAUGGCUCAGAACGUACGCUGGCGGCACGCCUUAUACAUGCAAGUCGAGCGAAGUAGCAAUACUUAGUGGCAGACGGGUGAGUAACAUGUAGGUAUCUACCCUUUGGUGAGGAAUAACACGAGGAAACUUGUGCUAAUACCUCAUAAGUCUUUACGGAGAAAGCUUUAUGCGCCGAAGGAUGAGCCUGCACUUGAUUAGUUUGUUGGUGGGGUAAUGGCCUACCAAGACUUUGAUCUAUAGCUGAUCUGAGAGGAUGAUCAGCCACAUUGGGACUGAGACACGGCCCAAACUCCUACGGGAGGCAGCAGUAGGGAAUAUUGCACAAUGGAGGAAACUCUGAUGCAGCGAUGCCGCGUGAGUGAAGAAGGCCUUUGGGUUGUAAAGCUCUUUCGUCGGGGAAGAAAAUGACUGUACCCGAAUAAGAAGGUCCGGCUAACUUCGUGCCAGCAGCCGCGGUAAUAC